CUGCGUGUCGCCUGACGACAGCUUUUCGAACUCCGCCAGCAGUUCUUUCUGCUUUUUGGUCAGAUUUUGCGGCGUUUCGACCACGACCUGAACGUACAGGUCGCCCGUCUGCCGGGAACGCAGCACAGGCAUGCCUUUGCCGGCNACGGAAGCGGCGGCCGGACUGGGUGCCUGACGGCACCUUGACCUUGGUCUUGCCCUUGUCGAUGGUCGGCACGUCGAACUCGCCGCCCAUCGCGGCGGUCACCAUCGACACCGGAACGCGGCAAUGCAGAUCGGCGCCGUCGCGCUGGAAGAACUUGUGCGCCGCCAGCGACAGGAAGAUGUAGAGAUCGCCCGCAGGACCGCCCUGCACGCCCGCCUCGCCUUCGCCAGCGAGACGGAUACGGGUGCCGUCCUCGACUCCCUGCGGGAUGUUGACCGACAGCGUGCGCUCCUUCUGAACGC
rnacentral:misc_RNA from 1 species